UUCGUAGCUGAUUUGAUAGAGCCUACUAUUAGAAGAUAGAUAGUUGAUCUAAUUAACAACACCUUUAGUAAAAAGGAUGCAUAAAGAAUGCUUUGUAUUCUAUUAGCAUGAUGUCCAUACGAUGACCAUAGGGCAUGGAGAGGUGAAGCAUCGAGCGAGUACUCUGUUCGCAGUGGUUACAAGCUUCUAGUAUAAGGAUUCAUAAAUCCUAAUGCUAG
rnacentral:lncRNA from 1 species